AUGGCCGGCAAGAGCGACCGCCUCCUCCGCUCCAACCCGGUCCACAAGAAGGUCCCGGUGCUCCUCCACGACGGCCGCCCCGUGUACGAGUCCCUCAUCAUCCUCAACUACCUCGACGACGCCUUCCCGGACACCCCCUCCCUCCUCCCCUCCGACCCCUACGAGCGCUCGCAGGCUCGCUUCUGGGCCGACUACGUCGACAAGAAGGUCUACGACUGCGGCACCCGGCUCUGGAAGCUCAAGGGCGAGCCGCACGCGCAGGCGCGGGCCGAGAUGCUGGAAAUCCUCAAGAAUCUGGACGGGGCGCUCGGGGACAAGCUCUUCUUCGGCGGCGACGUCUUCGGGUUCGUGGACGCCGCGUUCGCGCCCUUCACCUCGUGGUUCCACAGCUACGAGAAGUACGGCGAGUUCAGCGUCGCCGAGGUGGCGCCGAGGGUCGCGGCGUGGGCAAAGCGGUGCGGCGAGCGGGAGAGCGUCGCCAAGAGCCUCUACUCGCCGGACAAGAUUUACGAGUUCAUCGGCGUGCUCAAGAAGAUGCACGGCGUCGAGUAA
rnacentral:rRNA from 1 species